AGUCGAACGGUGACGACCAGCUUGCUGGUCUGAUCAGUGGCGAACGGGUGAGUAACACGUGAGCAACCUGCCCCUGACUCUGGGAUAACGACCGGAAACGGUCGCUAAUACCGGAUAUGAGAGGCCCGGGCAUCCGGGUUUCUGGAAAGUUUUUCGGUCAGGGAUGGGCUCGCGGCCUAUCAGCUUGUUGGUGGGGUAAUGGCCUACCAAGGCGACGACGGGUAGCCGGCCUGAGAGGGCGACCGGCCACACUGGGACUGAGACACGGCCCAGACUCCUACGGGAGGCAGCAGUGGGGAAUAUUGCACAAUGGGCGAAAGCCUGAUGCAGCGACGCCACGUGAGGGAUGACGGCCUUCGGGUUGUAAACCUCUUUCAGCAGGGAAGAAGCGCAAGUGACGGUACCUGCAGAAGAAGCGCCGGCUAACUACGUGCCAGCAGCCGCGGUAAUACGUAGGGCGCAAGCGUUGUCCGGAAUUAUUGGGCGUAAAGAGCUCGUAGGCGGUUUGUCGCGUCUGCUGUGAAAACCUCAGGCUCAACCUGGGGCUUGCAGUGGGUACGGGCAGACUAGAGUGCGGUAGGGGUGACUGGAAUUCCUGGUGUAGCGGUGGAAUGCGCAGAUAUCAGGAGGAACACCGAUGGCGAAGGCAGGUCACUGGGCCGCAACUGACGCUGAGGAGCGAAAGCAUGGGGAGCGAACAGGAUUAGAUACCCUGGUAGUCCAUGCCGUAAACGUUGGGCACUAG
rnacentral:rRNA from 1 species